rnacentral:rRNA from 1 species
AAUAUAAAAAUUAAAUAUAAAAUAAUUAAUAAAAAUAAUUUUAAUAUUAAAUAUUAUAAUGGGGGUUAAAGUAUUUAAAUAGAAAAAAUUAUAAAUUUUAUAGAAAAUUAGUAUUGUAAAAGAAAUUUGAAAUAAAUGAAAAUAAAAUUAAAAUAAAGUAAAUUUAAUUUAUUGUAUCUUGUGUAUCAGAGUUUAUUAAAUAAAUUAUUUAAAUAAAUAAAUUUCGAAUUUUUAAGAGAUAAUUAAUUAAAAAAGUUAAUGUAAUAUAAUUAUUUUAAAUAAUUAAUUUGAAAUGAAAUGUUAAUCGUUUAAAAAGAUAUCUAAUUAUUUUAGAAAAAAAUUUAAUUUUAAAAUUAAAUUUUAUAAAAAUUAAUUAAUUAAUUUUUAUAAAAUUUGAUUUAAAUAAUUUAAGGGAUAAGCUUUAAAUUAAAUUUUUAUAAUAAAUAAAUAAAUAAAAUUAAAAUUUUUAAAAUUUAUAUUGUUUAUAAAUUAAAAUUUUUUAUAAAAUAUUUUAUUUAAGAUAAAAUUUAAAAUAAUUUAAUUUUUUAUAAAAUAAUUGAUUUUAAUUAAAUAAAUAAAGUUAUAAUGAUAAAAUUAGUAUAAAUAAAUAAAUAAAUUAUAUAAAGUUAAUGAAGUUAAUAAAAAGGAAUUCGGCAAAAAAAUAUAUUCACCUGUUUAACAAAAACAUGUCUUUUUGAUAAUAAUUUAAAGUCUAAUCUGCCCACUGAUAAUAAAUUAAAGGGCUGCAGUAUAUUGACUGUACAAAGGUAGCAUAAUCAAUAGUCUUUUAAAUGGAGACUUGUAUGAAAGAUUUAAUGAAAUAUAAACUGUCUCUUUAUUAAAAUUAGAAAUUAAUUUUUUAGUUAAAAAGCUAAAAUAAUUUUAAAAGACGAGAAGACCCUAUAGAGUUUAAUAUUUUUAUUAUUUAUAUUAUUAUAUGAAAUUUUAUAAAAUAAAUAAUAAAAAUAUUUUGUUGGGGUGACAAAAAAAUUAAUAUAACUUUUUUUAAAAUUAAACAAAAAUAAUUGAAUAAAUGAUCCAUAAAUUAUGAUUAAAAGAAAAAAUUACCUUAGGGAUAACAGCGUAAUAUUUUUUUUUAGUACAAAUAAAAAAAAAAGUUUGCGACCUCGAUGUUGGAUUAAGAUAAAAUUUAAAUGCAAAAGUUUAAAAUUUUGAUCUGUUCGAUCAUUAAAAUCUUACAUGAUCUGAGUUCAAACCGGUGUGAGCCAGGUUGGUUUCUAUCUUUAAAAUAAUAAAAUAUUUUAGUACGAAAGGAAUAAAUAUUUAAAAUAAUUUUAAUUUAUAGAAUAUUAUUAAUGUAUUAAAUUAAAUAUG